rnacentral:rRNA from 1 species
UACGUAGGGGGCAAGCGUUGUCCGGAAUCAUUGGGCGUAAAGCGCGUGUAGGCGGCUUCGUAAGUCCGUUGUGAAAGUCCAGGGCUCAACCCUGGAAUGCCGAUGGAUACUGCCGGGCUAGAGUCCGGAAGAGGCGAGUGGAACUCCUGGUGUAGCGGUGGAAUGCGCAGAUAUCAGGAAGAACACCAACGGCGAAGGCAGCUCGCUAGGACGGUACUGACGCUGAGACGCGAAAGCGUGGGGAGCGAACAGG